GAAUAUGUCUUAUAAUAGUAUUAAAAUUAAAAUACGUGCUAAGCAGCAGAAAAAACUGUAAACUACCGAGAGGGAUAACGAUCAUUUCUCAGUCCAUGCUCGGCUCCUUCAAUCUUCCCCACGCUGAAGCACCGGUUUCGCGAUGAUCAAGAGAAGCGAAUUUAUAUGAUUUUCAAUACAGCUUCAGACCUUAUUCCCCCUCCACGCAAACUAGGGAUUUCCAUCCAUUUCAGCCAUAUCCCCGUGCCAAAUUGAGAGCAGAAAGCAACCAUAAACACUGACCGCUCCGCGCCCCACUUCAUUUUGGUCCGGUCUGGCUUCAGCUUCAUUCUAAAUCAACGCCAAUUUCAUUGUGUUCGAUUGGAGGCGCGCUCGGUGCAUCAACAGGCCUUCUGUAUUUUGGCGAGGGCUUAUCCGAUGAUGGUGAUGAUUGCGACGCACAAUCUGGUGAUCUUUGUAUCUAAUUAUGAUUUGUUAUUUAUUUCAGAACUUUUAAGGUUUGAGGCCAUUUUCGACCACUCAAACUGUUUGGUUUUGGUUCUAAUAGAAUUUGUGCAUUGUUACCUAUUGUAAGAUAUACAAGUAUGCAAUGGGCUGAUUUCUGUUUCUCGUUCAUUUCCGCGUCUAUAUCUAUAUGUAUCUAUCUCAUUAUUUGAGAUCUGUCAAUUCUUCAUUUUGUGUGCUUUUUCUGUUUAUAUGUUCAGUUCUCGGCACUAGAUGUGUGGAUUUUUGUUGUUUUUUUUGUGUGAAUUAGGGUUUUGUGUGAUAUGAACGUGUUGUUUUUGUAUAUGUGUCUGGUUGAUUUGUGCUUGUGAUUUAUUUGUGUUGUGAAUGUUAAUUUCAGAACCAACUGAAUUCAGAAUUGUAUAGUUGUAAUUGGUAAUUUGGAUGGGAUUCAGUAUUGAUAUGUAUUUUAAAAUGGAUUAUUGAUAUGCAUAUGAGCAAAGAGUCGAGACUUGGUUCUCAUUCGACGUUGGUUCUCACGAGAACACAACAAGAUAUACGUUCACACACAAGCACACAGACGCAAAAAGUAAACUAUCUAACGGACCCGGAAAUAUUGGUCUUCCCAUUUGAGGGGGGAGUAGUUGAUAUAAAUUUGUGUUCAUAUCUGCCUUAGUUUCGAGUGGUUUUCACUCACAAGCUUACAUGUGAGCUAUUGCUAUGUGGUAGUACUUCCACAUUCUAGUGGAGAUUUUUUAUCACUGAAGCACCUAAAUUUAUCUUUAAGCCAUUUUUAUAAACUGACAACCAAUUGUCUAAUCUAAAAGCUGUUACCGGAAAAAGAAUGAGUGAGCAUAAACACUUCUUAAUUGUCAGGGCCUUUUGUACAAUCAGCCGUCCGAAAAAUUUGUAUUGGGGGAUCAAAAGGGUCAAUUGCAAAUGACAUGUUACUAAUAAGGUAGCAUAGAUGCAACCCUCUUGUGACAGAUAGUUUAGCAAGAUGCUUUUCUAUGAUAAUUGUGACUUUUCUAUACCUUAAUUUUAAUGUUUGGAUAUUGUAUUGUUAAUAAAUUUAUUUUCUUUGUGAGUGGUACAUUUUUAAAUAUAUUUAGCUUGUUUAAAACUAGAUUUGUUACUCAAUGCAUCGGUUUAUGAUUACAGAACUGGUGGAUUAGUGGCGGCUUAGAAAACA
rnacentral:lncRNA from 1 species